AGCAGCCGCGGUAAUUCCAGCUCCAAUAGCGUAUAUUAAAGUUGUUGCAGUUAAAAAGCUCGUAGUUGAAUUUCGAGACCGGUUUAUUGGUCGUGCUUUUGUACGUACUGGUAUUAUUGGUUUCUCCUUUCUGACGAAUCUUAAUGCCAUUAAUUUGGUGUUUUGGGGAAUCAGGACUGUUACUUUGAAAAAUUAGAGUGUUUAAAGCAGGCUCACGCUUGAAUACAUUAGCAUGGAAUAACGGAAUAGGACGUUUGAUUCUAUUUUGUUGGUUUCUAGGAUCGACGUAAUGAUUAAUAGGGAUAGUUGGGGGCAUUAGUAUUCAAUUGUCAGAGGUGAAAUUCUUGGAUUUAUUGAAGACUAACUACUGCGAAAGCAUUUGCCAAGGAUGUUUUCAUUAAUCAAGAACGAAAGUUAGGGGAUCGAAGACGAUCAGAUACCGUCGUAGUCUUAACCAUAAACUAU
rnacentral:rRNA from 1 species